UAGGGAAUCUUCGGCAAUGGACGAAAGUCUGACCGAGCAACGCCGCGUGAGUGAAGAAGGUUUUCGGAUCGUAAAACUCUGUUGUUAGAGAAGAACAAGGACGUUAGUAACUGAACGUCCCCUGACGGUAUCUAACCAGAAAGCCACGGCUAACUACGUGCCAGCAGCCGCGGUAAUACGGAGGGUGCAAGCGUUAAUCGGAAUUACUGGGCGUAAAGCGCACGCAGGCGGUUUGUUAAGUCAGAUGUGAAAUCCCCGGGCUCAACCUGGGAACUGCAUCUGAUACUGGCAAGCUUGAGUCUCGUAGAGGGGGGUAGAAUUCCAGGUGUAGCGGUGAAAUGCGUAGAGAUCUGGAGGAAUACCGGUGGCGAAGGCGGCCCCCUGGACGAAGACUGACGCUCAGGUGCGAGAGCGUGGGGAGCAAACAGG
rnacentral:rRNA from 1 species